GAUGAACGCUGGCGGCAGGCCUAACACAUGCAAGUCGAGCGGCCGCACAAUAAGCGCUUGCCCUUACGGGUAGCGAGUGACGGGCGGGUGAGGCAUACAUCAGCUUCUACUUUUUCGUGGGUGAUAACGUGGAGACACUUCCGCUACUACCGCAUACGUCCUACGGGUGAAAUCAGGAGAUAAUCACGCCUUGCGCGAUUCAAUUAGCCGAUGUCGGAUUAGCUAGUUGGCUGGGUAAAGGCCCACCAAGGCGACGCUGCGUAGCUGGCCUGAGAGGAUGAUCGGCCACACUGGAACUGAGACACGGUCCAGACUCCUACGGGAGGCAGCAGUGGGGAAUAUUGGACAAUGGGCGCAAGCCUGAUCCAGCCAUACCGCGUGGGUGAUGAAGGCCUUCGGAUUGUAAAGCCCUUUUGUUAGGGAAGAAAAGCAGCAUGUGAAACUCCCGCUGUUCUGACGGUACCCAAAGAAUAAGCACCGGCUAACUUCGUG
rnacentral:rRNA from 1 species